AGGGAUAUAGCUCAGUGGUAGAGCGCAUGCUUAGCAUGCACAAGGUCCUGGGUUCAAUCCCCAGUACCCCCA
rnacentral:tRNA from 1 species